GGCAGCCCUUAUCAAAGAUGCAACUGUUUCCACAUAGCUGGUGUGGUCAAAAACAAGCCCCAAGUAACAGUUUUCCUUAACUGUCAUGGUCCCGUUUGCAGUAACAUAUCUGUAAGACUUGGGGGAAAGACAGUU